rnacentral:rRNA from 1 species
AUACGGAAGGUCCGGGCGUUAUCCGGAUUUAUUGGGUUUAAAGGGAGCGCAGGCGGAGAUGCAAGCGUGGCGUCAAAUUUCGGGGCUCAACCCCGUCUCGCGUCGCGAACUGCGUCCCUUGGUUGCGGGAAGGGGAGGCGGAACUCGUGGUGUAGCGGUGAAAUGCAUAGAUAUCACGAAGAACUCCGAUCGCGAAGGCAGCCUUCCGGCCCGUCAACGACGCUCAUGCUCGAAGGUGCGGGUAUCAAACAGGAUUAGAUACCCUGGUAGUCCGCACAGUAAACGAUGGACACCCGCGGUUUGGCCUGUAUGGCUGAGCCGCCAAGCGAAAGCGUUAAGUGUCCCACCUGGGGAGUACGCCGGCAACGGUGAAACUUAAAGGAAUUGACGGGG